rnacentral:rRNA from 1 species
CCUACGGGAGGCAGCAGUGAGGAAUAUUGGUCAAUGGACGAGAGUCUGAACCAGCCAAGUAGCGUGAGGGAUGACUGCCCUAUGUGUUGUAAACUUCUUUUAUAUGGGAGUAAAAUGUUCCACGUGUGGGAUUUUGUAUGUCCCAUAUGAAUCCGGCUCGGCUAACUCCGUGCCAGCAGCCGCGGUAAUACGGAGGAUCCGAGCGUUAUCCGGAUUUAUUGGGUUUAAAGGGAGCGUAGGUGGAUUGCUAAGUCAGGUGUGAAAGUUUGUGGCUUAACCGUAAAAUUGCAGUGGAAACUGGGAGUCGUGAGUGCAGGAGAGGUAGGCGGAAUUCGUGGUGUAGCGGUGAAAUGCGUAGAUAUCAGGAGGAACACCAGUGGCGAAGGCGGCCUGCUGGACUGCAACUGACGUUGAGGCCCGAAAGCGUGGGGAGCAAACAGGAUUAGAUACCCGUGUAGUC